UCAGGGUCCCACAGAAGAUCAAACUACACUUCUCUGUUAUAUGUGUGGGAGACCGAGUUCAAUUCCAUGAAGGGUCCCUGGUUGGCAGUUCAGUCUCUAGAAUUUCCUUUAAUUUUUGUUCAAAGGCAGUGUCCCUGAUGGCAGGAGAAGCNNNNNNNNNNNAUGGCAACAGGAACCGGAAGCUAAGAGAUCACAUUUCCGUUGUGCACAGGAAGCAGAGAGGGAAUUUCUAUCAACUAGAUGACAUAAUGAAUGUAACAGUAGUAAGGAUGGUAGUGAAAUAACUCCUGAUGAGAGGAGUUUGAAGUCUAUUAGGAAGUGGAAGAGCAAUGAAGUGACUACCCCUACGAGAACAUUUUACAUCACAGUUGCAAAGAACACAUCUAUCCUCUUCAUUAAAUCAACUGGUGUCCUUGAAGCUCCGGCUCAGCCGCCCUCUGACCCAAGAGAAGCAACAAAAUCCUAAAUCUCACUCCUCUGGCAAGAUCCACCAGGAGGUGAUUUGUUGAACAGCUUGUUAUGUGUGUUAAGAGAAGAUCUUCUACAACUAUUUAGGAACAAACACAAGCCCAAGUUUUGAAAAAGUCAAGCAAAAAUGAAAUUGAAAUAGGAUAAUCCGUGGGGACAUAGGGAAGAGACGAUUGUCCUCACUCCAUCUUCUUCCAAGACCCUCAGAAUGUCUUCCUAAUAGUAGAAAAUAAGACAGAACCAUGAUGCUUGAGAAUACACCAGAGCCACGAGAAGAUAAGAGUAAAUGAUAAACAUCAGCUGAGACAAUUUUAUUUCAUCAAAAUCUUUUAAAAGUUCACUUUUCUGCUUUAUUCUGUCUUGUAAAAGUUAAAAAAUAAAUCUUUUGCUUGCUUCAUAACAUC
ensembl:lincRNA 1700128A07Rik RIKEN cDNA 1700128A07 gene